rnacentral:rRNA from 1 species
GAUGAACGCUGGCGGUAUGCUUAACACAUGCAAGUCGUACGAAGAUCUUUGAUUUUAGUGGCGGACGGGUGAGUAACACGUGAGAAUCUGCCCUUAGGAAGAGGAUAACAGCUGGAAACGGUUGCUAAUACUCUAUACGCCGAGAGGUAAAAGGAUUUAUCCACCUUAGGAAGAGCUCGCGUCUGAUUAGCUUGUUGGUAAGGUAACGGCUUACCAAGGCGACGAUCAGUAGCUGGUUUGAGAGGACGACCAGCCACACUGGGACUGAGACACGGCCCAGACUCCUACGGGAGGCAGCAGUGGGGAAUUUUCCGCAAUGGGCGAAAGCCUGACGGAGCAAUACCGCGUGAGGGAUGAAAGCCUGUGGGUUGUAAACCUCUUUUCCCAAGGAAGAAAUUCUGACGGUACUUGAGGAAUAAGCAUCGGCUAACUCUGUGUCGGCAGCCGCGGUAAUACAGAGGAUGCAAGCGUUAUCCGGAAUCACUGGGCAUAAAGCGUCUGUAGGUCGCUUGCCAAGUCUGCUGUUAAAGAUCAGGGCCUAACCCUGGGAAAGCAGUGGAAACUAGCAAGCUUGAGUGUGGUAGAGGUAGAGGGAAUUCCUGGUGUAGCGGUGAAAUGCGUAGAUAUUAGGAAGAACACCAAUGGCGAAAGCACUCUACUGGGCCAUAACUGACACUGAGAGACGACAGCUAGGGGAGCAAAUGGGAUUAGAUACCCCAGUAGUCCUAGCCGUAAACGAUGGAUACUAGGUGUUGCACGUAUUAACCCGUGCAGUAUCGUAGCUAAAGCGUUAAGUAUCCCGCCUGGGAAGUACGCUCGCAGAGUGAAACUCAAAGGAAUUGACGGGGCCCGCACAAGCGGUGGAGUAUGUGGUUUAAUUCGAUGCAACGCGAGAACCUUACCAGG